AACGAACGCUGGCGGCGUGGAUAAGACAUGCAAGUCGAACGGGAUUUUAUUUGUAGCAAUACACGUAAAGUCUAGUGGCGUAAGGGUGCGUAACACGUGGGCAAUCUGCCGAGAAGUGGGGGAUAGCUCGCCGAAAGGCGAAUUAAUACCGCAUGUGGUUAGUGAAGACAUCUUCGCGAUACCAAAGCCGGGGCAACUUGGCGCUUCUUGAUGAGCCCGCGGCCUAUCAGCUAGUUGGUGAGGUAACGGCUCACCAAGGCUAUGACGGGUAGCUGGUCCGAGAGGACGGCCAGCCACACGGGAACUGAGACACGGUCCAGACACCUACGAGUGGCAGCAGUCGAGAAUUUUUCUCAAUGGGGGAAACCCUGAAGGAGCGACGCCGCGUGGAGGACGAAGGUCUUCGGAUUGUAAACUCCUGUCAUUUGGGAACAAUUGUUGGCGAUUAACUGUCGUCAGCUUGAUAGUACCAGAAGAGGAAGAGACGGCUAACUCUGUGCCAGCCGCCGCAGUAAAAC
rnacentral:rRNA from 1 species